rnacentral:rRNA from 1 species
UGUGACUGCGUACCUUUUGUAUAAUGGGUCAGCGACUUAUAUUCAGUGGCAAGGUUAACCAUCUAGGGGAGCCGUAGGGAAACCGAGUCUUAACUGGGCGUUCAGUCUCUGGAUAUAGACCCGAAACCAGGUGAUCUAGCCAUGGGCAGGUUGAAGGUUGAGUAACAUCAACUGGAGGACCGAACCGACUAAUGUUGAAAAAUUAGCGGAUGACUUGUGGCUAGGGGUGAAAGGCCAAUCAAACCUGGAGAUAGCUGGUUCUCCCCGAAAGCUAUUUAGGUAGCGCCUCGGACGAAUACUACUGGGGGUAGAGCACUGUUAAGGCUAGGGGGUCAUCCCGACUUACCAACCCUUUGCAAACUCCGAAUACCAGUAAGUACUAUCCGGGAGACACACGGCGGGUGCUAACGUCCGUCGUGGAGAGGGAAACAACCCAGACCGCCAGCUAAGGUCCCAAAUUA